UACGUAGGGGCCAAGCGUUGUUCGGAUUUACUGGGCGUAAAGGGCGCGUAGGCGGCGAAUCAAGUCAGCUGUGAAAUCUCCGAGCUUAACUCGGAACGGUCAGCUGAUACUGUUUUGCUAGAGUGCAGAAAGGGCAACCGGAAUUCUUGGUGUAGCGGUGAAAUGCGUAGAUAUCAAGAGGAACACCUGAGGCGAAGGCGGGUUGCUAGGCUGACACUGACGCUGAAGCGCGAAAGCUAGGGUAGCAAACGGG
rnacentral:rRNA from 1 species